rnacentral:lncRNA from 1 species
GAACAUAAUUCCAAAGAGGCCACCUGCGCCAAAAGCGGGCAACCACGCCUGGCUGGCGAAGCCCUGAGGCAAGUAUUCCUCUACCACUUACAACUAAUUAGAAGUUGCGAUGUGCAURUGAAAAGCUUCUGCCAUAAGAAAAUAAGAGAUUGCAUGCUUGCCACUUGGCUGUGUCAUGUAAAGCCUAAAUAACAGUUUACGUUCCCCACUUUCUUGAC